rnacentral:tRNA from 1 species
GUAAAUAUAGUUUUAAUUAAAACGCUAGAUUGUGAUUCUAAAAAUAGAGGUUAAAAUCCCCUUAUUCACC